rnacentral:rRNA from 1 species
UGGGGAAUUUUGGUCAAUGGGCGAAAGCCUGAACCAGCAACGCCGCGUGCAGGAUGAAGGCCCUCGGGUCGUAAACUGCUGUCAGGAGGGAAGAACGGUCCGGCGAUCAAUACCUGUCGGGCGUGACGGUACCUCCAAAGGAAGCACCGGCUAACUCCGUGCCAGCAGCCGCGGUAAUACGGAGGGUGCAAGCGUUGUUCGGAAUUACUGGGCGUAAAGCGCGUGUAGGCGGCUUGGUAAGUCGGAUGUGAAAGCCCGGAGCUCAACUCCGGAACUGCAUCCGAAACUGCCUCGCUAGAGUCCCGGAGAGGAAGGCAGAAUUCCCAGUGUAGGGGUGAAAUCCGUAGAUAUUGGGAGGAAUACCAGUGGCGAAGGCGGCCUUCUGGACGGUGACUGACGCUGAGACGCGAAAGCGUGGGGAGCAAACAGGAUUAGAUACCCGCGUAGUCC